rnacentral:rRNA from 1 species
CAGCCGCCGCGGUAAUACAGAGGGUGCGAGCGUUAAUCGGAAUUACUGGGCGUAAAGGGCGCGUAGGCGGUUAGGAAGGUGUGAUGUGAAAGCCCUGGGCUUAACCUAGGAAGUGCAUCGCAAACCAACUAGCUGGAGUAUAAGAGAGGGUGGCGGAAUUUCCGGUGUAGCGGUGAAAUGCGUAGAGAUCGGAAGGAACGUCAAUGGCGAAGGCAGCCACCUGGCUUAAUACUGACGCUGAGGCGCGAAAGCGUGGGGAGCGAACAGGAUUAGAUACCCCUGUAGUCCCUGUCUCUUAUAC